rnacentral:rRNA from 1 species
GCGUAGGGUAUGUAGGCUGUGAAAAACAGUGGAAAUUAAAGACUGGGUAGCAAUCCUUUAUGUUUCCUCGCUGAUUUCACUAGAAUCUUAGAAGGACGAUGGUAUUAAUCAGGAAUAGUUAAAUAUGAGAUAGAUAAAGGACCGACAGUGGUGAAAACAAUCUUCUUAUCAAGUAUUGAGCUAAUAUACGAAGGCAGGGGAGCGAAACGGAUUAGACACCCGUGUAGUCCGUGCUGUCAACGCUGAAUUUUCAAUGUAGGUUGGUUUGACUACUUCCCCGACAGUAAGAAAAAGGGAAACUUGGUGUUUUAGUAACGCGUUAAAUGUUCCGCUGGGAAGUACGGCCGCAGGUUGAAACUCAAAAGAAUUGAGGUGGCUUGUACGAGG